UUAAUUUACGGUUUCGCAAGAAUUAAUAGGGAAGACGGUUAGAGUCCGUCACAACAGCCAUUACUGUAUUUAGUUUAAAGAAAGCAUUAUGUCACUGCUUUUGCGGGAAGACGCUUUGUAAUAUAUUGCUAUAAGUCAGGAGACCUGCCGUAUCUUAU
rnacentral:ncRNA from 1 species